UUUGAAGUUUGUGUGCUCGAGGAUUACAGUCCUCGAGGAUGUCACAUUACAACUUUUUGAAGUUAGUGUGCUCGAGGAUUACAGUCCUCGAGGAUGUCACAUUACAACUUUUUGAAGUUAGUGUGCUCGAGGAUUACAGUCCUCGAGGAUGUCACAUUACAACUUUUUAAAGUUAGUGUGCUCGAGAAUUACAGUCCUCGGGGAUGUCACAUUACAAUUUUUUAAGGUUAGUGUGCCCGAGGAUUACAGUCCUCAAGGAUGUCACAUUACAACUUUUUGAAGUUAGUGUGCUUCCUCGAGAAUGUCACAAAUUCAAAGUCUAGUUGUGCUCGAGGAUUAAAGUCCUCGAGAAUGUCACUCAAUUUUUAAAGUUUGGUUGUGCCCUACGGUCCUCGAGAACACCUCAAUCUUUAAGACUAAUUGUUCUCGAGGUUUACAGUCCUCUAGAAUGUCACAUCAUCAUAUUUUUAUUGUUGCUCGGGAAUGUACGUCUCACCUUUUAAUCCCUUAAACACUCUCGAGUUGUGGAAUCCUCGAGUAAACACUUCAAUAUCGCGCGAGCAUUAAAGUUUCGAAUUUGAUUGCUCGAUUGUAUGGAGUCCAAGAGGUCGAGAUAAAUAGUUCGAAUAAAUUAACUAAAUAUACAUAGUCCUCGACCAAUCUACAUUGUCAAAAUUAAACAAAAAAUUACAAAGGAUUGGGGUGGGGAAGUCAUCCAAUGUGGCCAAGAGGAGGAUCGAGGUUGCUGAUGUCGAUCUCAACGUCGUCCUCAAGACCAUCCUCAUCAUCUCCACCAGAUCCUCCUCCAUCUUCCGAGCCCGAGAGCUCCAAUGUAUCAGCAAUGGAGGGCACCAUCUUCAGGUCAUCAGGAGUGACGUCGGGCAACUUCUGCCUGAGGAAGGCCCGGGCUUCUUUCAGAGCAUGGAAGUACGCCCCCGACGCAUACUCCCCUUUUAUCUUGUCGCAGUCCUCGGAGGUUUUAAACUCCUCCCUAGCCCUCUCCCUGACAACCUCGAGCUCGCGCCCAAAAUCCUUUGUCUUCUGGAUGAGCUCGAGCCUCGCCCCCUCGACCUCAUCCUUUGCUGCAACCAAGUCAUCCCUGGCCUUCGCAGCCUCCCUCCUUGCGUCAUCACGCUCCUUCAAUAAAACCUCGACCUGAGCCUCGAGGUCUUGGAUCCUGCUGUCCUUAGAGGCCAUGGACGUCUCGACCCCAGCUGCCCUCUUGGCCUCCUCGAGCCCUUGCAAAGAGAGUCCUCGAGCUAUACUCAACAUCUGGAAAAAAUGAAAGUGGUGUUAAGCUCGACCAAGAAACUCGAGGCUGAAGUCAAAGGUUCGAAGAUUACCUUCACUGUGAGACCCUCGAGGACCCUCAUCCCAUCCUCGAGCUUGACCUCCUCUUUGUAUUUGUUCACGAGCUCAGGAGCGAGGUGGCAAGUCUCAAAGUCCCCGGUGAGAGACGGGUCGUCGUCGAGGUCAACCACUUCCGAAGGAGGCCGAGGAGUGACGACCCGAGGAGUGGGAGACCUGAGGUUCGGUUGCUGAGGGGUCGAGACUGGUGGAUCCGCUCGAGAAGUUUCGCCAGGCCCCCUUGCACCCUCAGGAGUCCCUCGAGGCCUCUUCUUGCUUUUCUUCCUCGGGGGCUGUCCCUGUGGAUGAGCGCUCCCCCUUGAGCUUAUAAAAUUUCGAAGGGCCCGAGGAUCAAAAGACAUACCUGCAAAAAUUUAUCAACAUUUUAGAACGAGCACAAGGUCAGGAUAUUUUUCAAAAAAUAAUAAUAAUUAAACAUCCCUACCCUCGACGCCUCUAAUAUCUGCCAAGUCUAUAACCUCUUCCCCAAUUUCCUUCAUCGUCGGGAAAAGGGGGCUGAGCCCGACCAGCAUCCUCCUAUGCUCUUCCAAAACAUCCGGAUACACCUGGCCCUCACAGAACUUCUCGGCGUCGGGGAUUCCCCAAUCAGGCCAGAAAGGAAGAUCGGGUUCUUGGGCUAUAACAUAAAACCACCCCUCCCUCCAUCCCUUCAAGGAGCUCGCCAUCCUUGGGACUUUAAAACCCCCAAUCGUCGAGAGAUAACCAAAACAAGUGUAUCGAGGAUGCUUCUUAAGCUCGAACACUAAUUUGCUGAGGCUAAUGUUGGGCUCGAUACCUAAGUAUCUACAUGCUAUAAAAAAAUAAACGAGCAUUCUCCAGGCGUUGGGCACUAACUGCCCCGGGCACAUAGAGUGCUCGACUAACAGAGCAAUAAAGAAAGGGUGAAGAGGCCACCUAAAACCAGCCUUAAGGGUCUCCCUGAAAAUAACAAACUCCCCUCGUCGUGCUCGAACAAUCCUAUCCUCGGGGUCUGGGAAUCUAACAUCGCAGUUGGGCAUUAUACCGUAUUCCCUAGCUGCAGCUAUGACUGUGUGCUCUUUAAGCCUACAGGGCUCGUCGGGAUACUCAAAAACCAUAUUAACCUGGGCCUCGGGAGUAGCCUCUAGGGGAAUAGCCGUCGGUAUUAUCGAGGUCCCUACGUCCUCACUACUGCUAGAACUGCUAGAAGAUUCUCGACCCUCACUACUCGACAUCACUUAAGAAACUUAAGACCUAGCUUAUGAAUAGCUUAGAGUCUCGAGCCUUACCUGGAAUUCCCGACGACUUGAGAAGUUCCCAAAAGUGUUUUUCUCGAGCACGACCUCGCAAAACUCUGAUUUACAGUGGGUAAAAGUGAAAAAUGAAGGUAAGAACAAUAGUAUUUAUAGGUGAAAAUGAUGGGAGGUCAAACGUUGCUAUCUACGACCGUCCACAGAGACACGUGUCACAAAUCCAAACCACUCUCUGCAACGGUAAUAUCUCGACCUAUAUCAUC
rnacentral:lncRNA from 1 species